rnacentral:rRNA from 1 species
AGCAGUGGGGAAUAUUGGACAAUGGGCGAAAGCCUGAUCCAGCAAUGCCGCGUGUGUGAAGAAGGUCUUCGGAUUGUAAAGCACUUUCGACGGGGACGAUGAUGACGGUACCCGUAGAAGAAGCCCCGGCUAACUUCGUGCCAGCAGCCGCGGUAAUACGAAGGGGGCUAGCGUUGCUCGGAAUGACUGGGCGUAAAGGGCGCGUAGGCGGAUUGCGCAGUCAGAUACGAAAUUCCUGGGCUUAACCUGGGGGCUGCAUUUGAGACGCGUAGUCUAGAGUGUGAAAGAGGGUCGUGGAAUUCCCAGUGUAGAGGUGAAAUUCGUAGAUAUUGGGAAGAACACCGGUGGCGAAGGCGGCGACCUGGUUCAUAACUGACGCUGAGG